ensembl:lncRNA
AGUGGUGGAGAGGAGGGGAGGGUUGAGGGGUGGCGGAGAGGAGAGAAGGGUUGAGGGGUGGUGGAGAGGAGAGGAGGGUUGAGGGGUGGUGGAGAGGAGAGGAGGGUUGAGGGGUGGCGGAGAGAAGAGAAGGGUUGAGGGGUGGCGGAGAGGAGAGGAGGGUUGAGGGGUGGUGGAGAGGAGAGAGAAGGGUUGAGGGGUGGCGGAGAGGAGAGAAGGUUUGAGGAGUGGCGGAGAGGAGAGAAGGGUUGAGGGGUGGCGGAGAGGAGAGGAAGGUAGAGGGGUGGCAGAGAGGAGAGGAGGGUUGAGGAGUGGAGGAGAGAAGAGAAGGGUUGAGGGGUGGCGGAGAGGAGAGGAGGGUUGAGGGGUGGCGGAGAGGAGAGAAGGGUUGAGGGGUGGCGGAGAGGAGAGAAGGUUUGAGGAGUGUCGGAGAGGAGAGAAGGGUUGAGGGGUGGCGGAGAGGAGAGGAAGGUAGAGGGGUGGCAGAGAGGAGAGGAGGGUUGAGGAGUGGCGGAGAGGAGGAGGAGGGUUGAGGGCUGGCGGAGAGGAGAGAAGGGUUGAGGGGUGGUGGAGAGGAGGGUUGAGGGGUGGUGGAGAGAAGAGAAGGGUUGAGGGGUGGCGGAGAGGAGAGGAGGGUUGAGGGGUGGCGGAGAGGAGAGAAGGGUUGAGGGGUGGCGGAGAGGAGAGAAGGUUUGAGGAGUGUCAGAGAGGAGAGAAGGGUUGAGGGGUGGCGGAGAGGAGAGGAAGGUAGAGGGGUGGCAGAGAGGAGAGGAGGGUUGAGGAGUGGAGGAGAGGAGAGGAGGGUUGAGGGGUGGCGGAGAGGAGAGAAGGGUUGAGGGGUGGCGGAGAGGAGAGAAGGGUUGAGGGGUGGCGGAGAGGAGAGAAGGGUUGACGGGUGGCGGAGAGGAGAGAAGGGUUGAGGGGUGGCGGAGAGGAGAGAAGGGUUGAGGGGUGGCGGAGAGGAGAGAAGGGUUGAGGGGUGGCGGAGAGGAGAGGAGGGUUUAGGAGUGGCGGAGAGAAGAGAAGGGUUGAGGGGUUGCGGAGAGAACAGGAGGGUUGAGGGGUGGCGGAGAGGAGAGGAGGUUUGAGGAGUGGCGGAGAGGAGAGGAGGGUUGAGGAGUGGCAGAGAGGAAAGGAGGGUUGAGGGGUGGCGGAGAGGAGAGGAGGGUUGAGGAGGGGCGGAGAGGAGAGGAGGGUUGAGGGGUGGCGGAGAGGAGAGGAGGGUUGAGGGGUGGCGGAGAGGAGAGGAGGGUUGAGGAGUGGCGGAGAGAGGAGGGUUGAGGGGGGGCGGAGAGGAGAGGAGGGUUGAGGGGUGGCGGAGAGGAGAGGAGGGUUGAGGGGUGGCGGAGAGGAGAGGAGGGUUGAGGAGUGGCGGAGAGGAGAGGAGAGGAGGUUUGAGGAGUGGCGGAGAGGAGAGGAGAGAAGGGUUGAGGGGUGGCGGAGAGGAGAGGAGGGUUGAGGGGUGGCGGAGAGGAGAGGAGGGUUGAGGAGUGGCGGAGAGGAGGGUUGAGGAGUGGCGGAGAGGAGAGGAGGGUUGAGGGGUGGCGGAGAGGAGAGGAGGGUUGAGGGGUGGCGGAUAGGAGAGGAGGGUUGAGGAGUGGCGGAGAGGAGAGGAGAGGAGGUUUGAGGAGUGGCGGAGAGGAGAGGAGAGAAGGGUUGAGGGGUGGCGGAGAGGAGAGGAGGGUUGAGGGGUGGCGGAGAGGAGAGAAGGGUCAAGGGGUGGCGGAGAGGAGAGAAGGGUUGAGGGGUGGCGGAGAGGAGAGGAGGUGUGAGGAGUGGCGGAGAGGAGAGAGGAGGGUCGAGGGGUGGCGGAGAGGAAAGGAAGGUUGAGUAGUGGUGGAGAGGAGGGUUGAGGAGUGGCGGAGAGGAGAGGAGGUUUGAGGAGUGGCGGAGAGGAGAGGAGGUUUGAGGAGUGGCGGAGAGGAGAGGAGGUUUGAGGAGUGGCAGAGAGGAGAGGAGGGUCAAGGAGUGGCGGAGAGGAGAGGAGGGUUGAGGGUUGGCGGAGAGGAGAGGAGGUUUGAGGAGUGGCGGAGAGGAGAGGAGGUUGAGGGGUGGUGGAGAGGAGAGGAGGGUUGAGGGGUGGCGGAGAGGAGAGGAGAGGAGGUGUGAGGAGUGGCGGAGAGGAGAGGAGGGUUGAGGGGUGGCGGAGAGGAGAGGAGGUUGAGGGGUGGUGGAGAGGAAAGGAAGGUUGAGGAGUGGUGGAGAGGAGGGUUGAGGAGUGGCGGAGAGGAGAGGAGAGUUGAGGGGUGGCGGAGAGGAGAGAAGGGUUGAGGGGUGGUGGAGAGGAGAGUUGAGGGGGCAGAGAGGAGGGGGUGGCG